UAGAACGCUGAGAACUGGUGCUUGCACCGGUUCAAGGAGUUGCGAACGGGUGAGUAACGCGUAGGUAACCUACCUCAUAGCGGGGGAUAACUAUUGGAAACGAUAGCUAAUACCGCAUAAGAGAGACUAACGCAUGUUAGUAAUUUAAAAGGGGCAAUUGCUCCACUAUGAGAUGGACCUGCGUUGUAUUAGCUAGUUGGUGAGGUAAAGGCUCACCAAGGCGACGAUACAUAGCCGACCUGAGAGGGUGAUCGGCCACACUGGGACUGAGACACGGCCCAGACUCCUACGGGAGGCAGCAGUAGGGAAUCUUCGGCAAUGGGGGCAACCCUGACCGAGCAACGCCGCGUGAGUGAAGAAGGUUUUCGGAUCGUAAAGCUCUGUUGUUAGAGAAGAAUGAUGGUGGGAGUGGAAAAUCCACCAAGUGACGGUAACUAACCAGAAAGGGACGGCUAACUACGUGCCAGCAGCCGCGGUAAUACGUAGGUCCCGAGCGUUGUCCGGAUUUAUUGGGCGUAAAGCGAGCGCAGGCGGUUUUUUAAGUCUGAAGUUAAAGGCAUUGGCUCAACCAAUGUACGCUUUGGAAACUGGAGAACUUGAGUGCAGAAGGGGAGAGUGGAAUUCCAUGUGUAGCGGUGAAAUGCGUAGAUGUAUGGAGGAACACCGGUGGCGAAAGCGGCUCUCUGGUCUGUAACUGACGCUGAGGCUCGA
rnacentral:rRNA from 1 species